GUGCAGCAAGGAUCUCGCGAGAGAACCGGCAGUUGUGUAUUAAGGGAGGGGAGGAAUCCAGGACUAUCGCGAGAUCUCCGUGGGCUCGUCCCCUCGGUUUUCGACGGGUGAGGCUCCAGAGGCGUCGCGCGAGAUCUCCUACCAUGGGCUUCUAUGACUGCAAGUGAAGCCGCUCGGCUUUCCUGGAGGAUACCGCGAGAUCUCCUCCUGGUUGCCUCCAGCCACCUCCGGAUUCUAGGAGAAAAAGCUCCCGAAGUCUCGCGAGAUAUUGUUGCUCUCUCCCCUCCGCUCGACUCAGAGCUCGCGAGAACGAUCAGUCAGUCUUUGUUUCGCGCGGGUACGGAACGUUCUCUCCAGAAAGAGCCGGAAUCUAGGUCACGUGGGCGGCCUGCGCGGGCCGCCGCCAUGUUAUGAGCUUCGCCGCCGGCGCUGCGCAGAGUCUAGCGGGGCGCGGCCCGACCCCGGCUCGAGCGCUGCGAGCAGCGACAACCCUGGAACGGAAGAGACUUUUAAGUGACCUGGUCAGAGGGCCAGGUCACAGGAAGAGACAUGUGGCUGCCUCACUUCUGCAGUAACUAGCAGGAAAUCUGCAGUGGAGAGAGAGCUGCUAUGUCAUGCCUGGCCAAAAGGAAGCACCAGAACCAUUAUCCAAUACCUACUGGAGUCAAUGGGACUAUCUCCAGAGAUUUCAGGGUACUGGGUCAGGCCCUUAAUCAUGACUACACAAAGAGGACAGAGAUUACAUCAUGCAACCCUCCUACAACAUGCUAAAUCCUGGCUUUGACCUUGUUUUUAAUUAUGUAAAAAUUCCUUUUUGAUUUAAAUGUCUUAUUCUUAUUUUAAGCUCAGAAAAGAUUUCUUUUUGUGAGUUAUGAAUUUGUUCAAAUUAAAUACUAA